GUUGAAGCUUUUAAGAAUGUGUACGAAAUAUUUGACGAAAUUGUAGUGAAAGAUUGAGUUGUUUGACUCUCAAGACAAUAAAUGUGUCAUACAGAGAGUAUAUAUGUGUUCUAGCCAGCUUUCGCGUACCUCGGGAGAUGUGUCAUCUCCCACCGGUAGGUAUCAGUGAAGGGGCUGAAGGAGUUGAAUUUUGUGUGCCCAGGCAUAUGGAACCUCAUGGCUACAGAAAGGGUAACAAAAGGAAUCUUGUUACCGUUCAAAAUGGUAACCAUAGUCCGCUGAGUAUAGAUGAGGAGCUGGAUCCAUGGACCGCUUGGGCAUACAAACCUCGUACUAUUACAUUGUUGCUUAUUGGUGCAUGUUUCCUCAUCUGGGCAAGUGGAGCUCUUGAACCGCAAAGUACUUCCUCUAGUGAUGUUGCUACUUCUGUGAAAAGGGGUGUUUGGGCAAUGGUUGCUGUUUAUCUUGCCUACUCUUUGCUGCAAGCCCCCUCAACGGUACUUAUUAGACCACAUCCUGCCAUUUGGCGCCUGGUUCAUGGAAUGGCUGUGAUUUAUCUUGUUGCUUUGACAUUUCUACUUUUUCAGAGGCGCAAUGAUGCUCGACAGUUUAUGACAUUUCUUCAUCCUGAUCUUGGCAUUGAACUUCCUGAAAAGUCUUAUGGUGCAGAUUGCAGACUCUAUGUACCUGAAAAUCCCACGAACAGGUUUAAGAAUGUUUAUGACACGUUGUUCGAUGAGUUCGUUCUGGCUCAUAUCUUAGGGUGGUGGGGCAAGGCCAUCAUGAUACGUAAUCAGCCUCUUUUAUGGGUCUUAUCUAUUGGGUUCGAGUUGAUGGAGCUUACUUUCCGCCACAUGUUACCAAACUUUAAUGAGUGCUGGUGGGACAGCAUUAUUCUGGAUAUAUUCAUCUGCAACUGGUUUGGCAUCUUGGCUGGAAUGCGUACUGUUCGAUAUUUUGAUGGAAGAACAUAUGAGUGGGUUGGUAUAAGCCGGCAGCCAAAUAUUAUGGGCAAGGUCAAGCGAACACUUGGUCAAUUUACACCUGCACAUUGGGAUAAAGAUGAAUGGCAUCCCCUCCUUGGUCCCUGGCGAUUCCUUCAAGUUCUCACUCUCUGUGUUAUUUUCUUGACUGUGGAAUUGAAUACAUUCUUUUUGAAGUUCUGUCUUUGGAUUCCUCCCAGAAACCCUCUGAUAGUGUAUAGGUUGGUUCUGUGGUGGCUACUUGCAAUACCAACAAUUCGGGAGUACAACACUUACCUACAGGACAGGACACCAGUAAAAAAGGUGGGAGCAUUUUGCUGGCUUUCUCUAGCUAUCUGCAUUGUUGAACUCCUAAUCUGCGUCAAGUUCGGACAUGGAUUGUUUCCUGACCCCAUGCCCAAUUGGUUAGUAAUUUUCUGGACAUGCACCGGCGUUGGCCUUGUGUUAUUUUUGGCUGCAUGGUCAUGGCAAUUACAUCGUACAAUGAGGAAAAAGCAGCAAUGAGUUUCUGCAGUAACUCCAUUCUUUAUUCCUUUGUGUUAUUUCGGGUAACCAACCCUCUUGUAAAUACCAAUUACCUUUUUAACUGUACAUGUUUUCUUCCUAGGUUAGGUAUUACAGUUGAAAAUGUAGUGAACCACAAUUCUUUAUCACUAGGUCACAGGUUGGUAGAUUCCCUGUUUGUGCUGCCUCAGUUUGCAGGCUCUUUCCUAAAUAAUUUUUUUACGGAGUGUAUGUUGAAACUUAGAAGUGUUGCAAUUUCAGUUCUAUAACCAGGUAUUCGAAAUUUACCCUCGCCUCAUUGCAGUUGAACUUUAUUAUUCCCAUGCAAAUUGUGUCUACUUUGCAUGUGAGGAUGUAGGGCUCUCAAAAGUUCUUAGGAACUCUUAAACCAUGCAUACUAGUCGAGCCUUAUCUUUUUCUUCCUCCACUUAUCUCAUUUCCCCCUCAAAGGGCUAUUGUUCUCUCGUAGAGCAUCGAGUCUAUGAGCGUUGGCCAAAAGGAAACACACAAAAUUUGGAACACAGAGAGUUGAGACUAUGUUUUCAUGCAUGAGGCUUCCUUUUUUCUCAUUUGGUGCUAUGCGAUGUUGUAUUAUGAGGAAGCUAAGUUUGCUCACUUCCCAUACUGAUGAGCAUGAAAGGGAUAGAAAGAACAUCUGAACUUCCACACCCUCGUAUAUUCUAUACUUUGGCUCUAGAUGGCUGGUGACUCCAAAAUUGGUUAAGAAUAAUCUGUGUCACAAACCAAGAAGUGAAUUCGAGUUGUGUUUUCUGCUCAAUCUAAGGUGUUGAUGAAGGUGGGUUGAUCAAUGUUGUCUUUCGGGCAUAUAUGGUUUUCUGAAUUACUUUCACUUUGUAUGCAACUGAUAAACUGAUUAGGCAUAGCAAUGACAAUUGAAGGAAUGAAAUCUGAUAGAAAAUA